rnacentral:rRNA from 1 species
UACAGGGGGGGCAAGCGUUGUUCGGAAUUACUGGGCGUAAAGGGUUCGUAGGUGGCUUGCUAAGUCACACGUGAAAUCCCUCAGCUUAACUGGGGAACUGCGUGUGAAACUGGCGAGCUUGAGGGUAGGAGAGGAAUGCGGAAUUCCAGGUGUAGCGGUGAAAUGCGCAGAUAUCAGGAGGAACACCGGUGGCGAAGGCGGGUCUCUGGGCCGAUACUGACGCUGAGGAGCGAAAGCGUGGGGAGCGAACAAG